AUUGAACGCUGGCGGCAGGCCUAACACAUGCAAGUCGAGCGAGAGGCGGACGGGUGAGUAAUGUAUGGGGAUCUGCCCGAUAGAGGGGGAUAACUAGUGGAAACGGUGGCUAAUACAGCAUACUAUAGGAUGAACACAUAUGGGAUUAGCUAGUAGGUGGGGUAAGGGCUCAACUAUGCGAAGAUCUCUAGCUGGUAGGAGAGGAUGAUCAGCCGCACUGGGACUGCGACACGGCCCAGACUCCUACGGGAGGCAGCAGUGGGGAAUAUUGCACAAUGGGCGCAAGCCUGAUGCAGCCAUGCCGCGUGUAUGAAGAAGGCCUUAGGGUUGUAAAGUACUUUCAGCGGGGAGGCGUUACCCGCAGAAGAAGCACCGGCUAACUCCGUGCCAGCAGCCGCGGUAAUAC
rnacentral:rRNA from 1 species